rnacentral:rRNA from 1 species
AACGAACGCUGGCGGCAGGCCUAACACAUGCAAGUCGAGCGAGGUAGCAAUACCUAGCGGCGGACGGGUGAGUAACGCGUGGGAACGUGCCCCUUGGUACGGAAUAGCCCCGGGAAACUGGGAGUAAUACCGUAUGAGCUCUACGGAGGAAAGAUUUAUCGCCAAGGGAUCGGCCCGCGUUGGAUUAGGUAGUUGGUGGGGUAAUGGCCUACCAAGCCGACGAUCCAUAGCUGGUUUGAGAGGAUGAUCAGCCACACUGGGACUGAGACACGGCCCAGACUCCUACGGGAGGCAGCAGUGGGGAAUCUUAGACAAUGGGCGCAAGCCUGAUCUAGCCAUGCCGCGUGAGCGAUGAAGGCCUUAGGGUUGUAAAGCUCUUUCAGCUGGGAAGAUAAUGACUGUACCAGCAGAAGAAGCCCCGGCCAACUCCGUGCCAGCCGCCGCAGUAAAAC